AGAGUUUGAUCCUGGCUCAGAUUGAACGCUGGCGGCAGGCCUAAUACAUGCAAGUCGAACGGUAACAUAGGAAAAGCUUGCUUUUCUGAUGACGAGUGGCGGACGGGUGAGUAAUAUUGGGAAGCUACCUGAUAGAGGGGGACAACAGUUGGAAACGACUGCUAAUACCGCAUACAGCCUGAGGGUGAAAGCAGCGAUGCGCUAUCAGAUGCGCCCAAAUGGGAUUAGCUAGUAGGUGAGGUAAAGGCUCACCUAGGCGACGAUCUCUAGCUGGUCUGAGAGGAUGAUCAGCCACAUUGGGACUGAGACACGGCCCAGACUCCUACGGGAGGCAGCAGUAGGGAAUAUUGCACAAUGGAGGAAACUCGGAUGCAGCCAUGCCGCGUGUGUGAAGAAGGCCUUCGGGUUGUAAAGCACUUUCGGAGGGGAGGAGAAUGACGUUACCCUCAGAAGAAGCACCGGCUAACUCCGUGCCAGCAGCAGC
rnacentral:rRNA from 1 species